rnacentral:rRNA from 1 species
CCUACGGGUGGCAGCAGUGGGGGAUAUUGCACAAUGGGGGGAACCCUGAUGCAGCGACGCCGCGUGGGUGAAGAAGCGCCUCGGCGCGUAAAGCCCUGUCAGCAGGGAAGAAAAUGACGGUACCUGAAGAAGAAGCCCCGGCUAACUACGUGCCAGCAGCCGCGGUAAUACGGAGGGGGCAAGCGUUAUCCGGAUUUACUGGGGGUAAAGGGGGCGCAGACGGCGAUGCAAGCCAGGAGUGAAAGCCGGGGGCCCAACCCCGGGACUGCUCUUGGAACUGCGUGGCUGGAGUGCAGGAGGGGCAGGCGGAAUUCCUGGUGUAGCGGUGAAAUGCGUAGAUAUCAGGAGGAACACCGGUGGCGAAGGCAGCCUGCUGGACUGCAACUGACGUUGAGGCCCGAAAGCGUGGGGAGCAAACAGGAUUAGAUACCCUAGUAGUC